ACUGAGACCUCUCUUUUUUCACAGAAAGAAAAAGGAAGGCAAAGGCCUCAAAGGUCCAGGGAUCAUGCACAAAGGAGGACUUCCAGGAGCUCAUCCAACAAAUGAAAGCUAUGUUUGAAGAUCUCCAGAAAUUGCAGGAAUCCUGUAAGUGUGAUAUUCAGCUGCUCAGAGAAGACCUGAACAAGGAACUAGGUGUGCUGAUAGAAAGUGCAUCAGGAGACAAGGGCACUGAUAGAGAGGCAUAGACAGCUCCCAAGCUGGUGAAGUAUUGAUCAACAAAAUUAAAGUCUGGCACUCGUUACAUUUCUCUGGAGCUUGGCCCCCCAGCCCCUGCACUCCCUGGGUUUGCUGUGUUAGGAAGUGCUCGUGCUGCUGGAAGACUGAGAUAAUUUUUCUGGCUUUUCUCCCUCCUAUGAGCUGGUUCCUCCUGUGCCAGGGCAGAUCCAUCGACUGCCCAGUUUCAACAAGUGAAGGGAACAGCAGCCAAAGUGCAACCCAGAGCAGAGCAGCUGAAUUACCCAGUGAGCUCCACACAAAAUCUGUGGGAAAGGUCCUGGUUUUUAAGUGGUUUUUGUGUGUAUGGAGAGUCUGGGAUGUACAGCAAUGGGGGAACUAUUUCACCUGGAGAAUGAAGUGUUCCAUUGCAACCCUGAUUUUUCUGGGGCAUGUUUACUACGCUCCCACUACCUGUCUUCUUUCCUGCUUCUGUUUUUAGUUAAUGUUUAUCGGUACAAGUGUA